AGGGAAUUUUCGGCAAUGGGGGCAACCCUGACCGAGCAAUGCCGCGUGAACGACGAAGGUCUUCGGAUCGUAAAGUUCUGUGAUUGGGGAAGAACAGCAUGAUCAGGAAUUGGGUCAUGUUUGACGGUACCCGAUUAGAAAGCCCCGGCUAACUAUGUGCCAGCAGCCGCGGUAAAACAUAGGGGGCGAGCGUUAUCCGGAAUUAUUGGGCGUAAAGAGUACGUAGGCGGCCUCUUAAGUCUGAUGUGAAAUCCCGCGGCUUAACCGCGGAGGGUCAUUGGAAACUGGCAGGCUUGAGUACGGCAGGGGUAAGUGGAAUUCCAAGUGGAGCGGUGAAAUGCGUAGAUAUUUGGAGGAACACCAGUGGCGAAGGCGGCUUACUGGGCCGGAACUGACGCUGAGGUACGAAAGCGUGGGGAGCAAACA
rnacentral:rRNA from 1 species